rnacentral:rRNA from 1 species
UUGACCUCGGAUCAGGUAGGGUUACCCGCUGAACUUAAGCAUAUCAAUAAGCGGAGGAAAAGAAACCAACAGGGAUUACCUCAGUAACGGCGAGUGAAGCGGUAACAGCUCAAAUUUGAAAUCUGGUCCCCUCUGGGGGCCCGAGUUGUAAUUUGAAGAGGAUGCUUUUGGCGAGGCGCCUUCCGAGUGCCCUGGAACGGGACGCCACAGAGGGUGAGAGCCCCGUAUGGUAGGACGCCGAGCCUCUGUAAAGCUCCUUCGACGAGUCGAGUAGUUUGGGAAUGCUGCUCAAAAUGGGAGGUAAACCCCUUCUAAAGCUAAAUAUUGGCCAGAGACCGAUAGCGCACAAGUAGAGUGAUCGAAAGAUGAAAAGCACUUUGAAAAGAGAGUUAAACAGCACGUGAAAUUGUUGAAAGGGAAGCGCUUGCGACCAGACUUGCGCCCGUCGGAUCAACCGUCCCUCGUGGGCGGCGCACUCCGGCGGGCUCAGGCCAGCAUCAGUUUUCCUGGGGGGAGAAAGGCGGUGGGAAUGUAGCUCUUCGGAGUGUUAUAGCCCUCCGCGUAAUACCCCCGGGGGGACUGAGGACCGCGCGAAAGCAAGGAUG